GGAGAGUUGCCAGAGAGGUCGAAUGGGCUCGCCUGGAACGCGAGUAGACGUUAUACGUCUCGAGGGUUCGAAUCCCUCACUCUCCG
rnacentral:tRNA from 1 species